rnacentral:rRNA from 1 species
GGUCGGGUACGUUAGUCCGUAACCUAACCAACUAGUCGAGUACGUCGACGACGAGAAGUACUUCGGUAUGAGUAGAGUGGCGCACGGGUGAAUAACACGUAGGUGACCUUCCGAAUAGUGGGGGAUAACUCGGAGAAAUCCGGGCUAAUACCGCAUAUGUACGACAAAUCUGAGAGUAGUCGUAGAAAGAAUGCCUCUACUUGUAAGCAUUCGCUAAUCGAUGAGUCUGCGUCCCAUCAGCUAGUUGGUGAGGUAAUGGCUCACCAAGGCAAAGACGGGUAGCUGGUCUGAGAGGAUGAUCAGCCACACUGGCACUGGGACACGGGCCAGACUCCUACGGGAGGCAGCAGUGGGGAAUAUUGGGCAAUGGGCAGAAGCCUGACCCAGCCACGCCGCGUGAGUGAAGAAGGCCUUCGGGUUGUAAAGCUCUUUCGGCAGGAACGAAACGGUGGUCCCUAAUACGGAUUGCUAAUGACGGUACCUGAAGAAGAAGCACCGGCUAACUACGUG